rnacentral:rRNA from 1 species
AAUUUUGCGCAAUGGGCGGAAGCCUGACGCAGCAACGCCGCGUGGAGGAUGAAGGUCCUUGGAUUGUAAACUCCUGUCAGCGGGGAAAAAGCGACUGGACCUAAUACGUCCGGGAGUUGAUUGUACCCGCAGAGGAAGCCCCGGCUAACUCUGUGCCAGCAGCCGCGGUAAUACAGAGGGGGCGAGCGUUAUUCGGAAUUAUUGGGCGUAAAGGGCGCGUAGGCGGCCUGACAAGUGACGGGUGAAAUCCCUCGGCUCAACCGAGGAUCUGCCUGUCAGACUGUUGGGCUUGAGACCGGGAGAGGUGAGUGGAAUUCCAGUGUAGCGGUGAAAUGCGUAGAUAUUGGGAGGAACACCAGUGGCGAAGGCGGCUCACUGGACCGGAACUGACGCUGAGGCGCGAAAGCGUGGGGAGCAAACAG